AAGAUAAAAUUAUGUAUUAAUUUUGUUAGUAGUCAAAACAUAGGUAAACUAAAAAAAAAAAGGCUAAAACUAAACUACGCUGUUUUGACAGUAUUUAUUAAAAAAAUACUGGUGAUAGCAAAUGAUUCCUCAUAUUAACUCAAUUUCGAAUAUUUUUGUAAAUUGUACACUUUUAAUGCAAAAAAACGAUGUUGGGAUUGUACAGCAACUUAGUUUUUGUCCUUGUAUCAUGUGGAAUAGGGAUUUCAAAUAAGUUUGAUGACCCUGACCACAACCUUGAUUGGUUUAUAUCCAUUGCCCCCAUGCCAUUGGGAUGGACUUUUUCUGUUUCUUAUUUUGGUUUUUCUUUUACUUCAUCCAUUUCUGAUUAGUGUUUUAUUAUUGUAAACAUACACACUAAAAUUUAGAUUUUCUAAUACCAAAAUAUAAAAUAUCACAUUUUAUUUGUUUUUCUGUUAGUUCAUAAUUAAUUCAAGCAGAUCAUAUCUGCUUAUGUGGCAGAAUGUCUUUUCACCUUAGGUGUUUAUAGGUUUGAGUUGUCAACUUACUGAAUUCAUUGACAAUUAGUACCAUAUUUCAUUUUAUGCACAACUCUAAUUUUGCCUCACUACUAAAUGUUAUUUACUAAAACAACACACAUUGGAAGUGAUUUUAUUCUUCUCCAGUCUUCGAUCAACAAUAGUAACUAGAUUUCGGGUCGGUGCAUAAAAUCCGUCUCGUCAAAUAACAGCGCACUUGAAAUGUGAGCUCUUAUUUUGUUUAGUUUACUUCAAACACAGCCAAUGUCAACCCGUCUCACAAUACCGCAGUGUGUAUUCAAAAGUUGCAAAAAUAAGGCCCGAAAAGCAAUUUAACGGCCGGAGUAUCUUACUUUCGCUUUCCUAGCAAUCACGUGUGCAGAAUGGAUCUCGAUUGUCGCCAGAGAAACAAGAGAUGACUUUUAUAAGCCAGCUAAGAACUCCGCUUAUUGACACUGGACAUCUUUGCCUUCCGUGCUCACGGCUACUGAAAUGUGGCCGAAACAUUGUAAUAAAAAUACCACGCUUGAAACCGUUUAAA